AUGAAGCCCCCCGGCCGCAUCGCCACUGCCGCUGCAGCGGCAUUGCUCGUCGCCACGUCGCUGCUGGUCGCCACCCUCCUCACCUCGCCGCUGCCGUUGCUGCCGUUGCUCCCGUGCCUGCCCGGCGUCCUAGCCCCCUCGGGCGUCGGGUACGAGCCUUCAGGCCUCGCCGCGCUCGCCGACGCCGCCGUGUACUACGCCACCACGCGCACCGUCCCGCAGCAGUCACGCGCCGAGAUCUCCCUGUCUCUCGACGUGCUGCGCCGCCGCGCGCCGGUCCGGUUGCUGGUGUUCGGCCUCGGCCACGACUCGCGGCUCUGGCACGCGCUCAACCCCGGCGGCGUCACCGUCUUCCUGGAGGAGGACCCGGAGUGGUACCGCAUCGUGCGCGCUAGGUCGCCGUUCCUGCGCGCCCAUCUGGUCACGUACCGCACGCGGAUGGACCACGCCGACCUCCUCUUCGACUCCUACAAGAACUUCUCCUCCUGCGUCCCCGGCGCCGGAGCCGAGGCCGCCGACGCCCCCGUGCAGGUCCGCGACAACGCCGCGUGCCCGCUGGCGCUGCACAACCUGCCGCCGGAGGUGUACGAGAACGAGUGGGACAUGCUCAUGCUGGACGCGCCCAAGGGGUACUUCGCGUCGGCGCCUGGCAGGAUGGCGGCGAUUUGGACGGCGGCGGCAAUGGCGCGGGCGAGGCGCGGCGAGGGGGACACCGACGUGUUCCUGCACGACGUAGACCGCAAGGUGGAGAAGAGGUACGCCGAGGAGUUCCUCUGCGACAUGUUCCGGGUGGGAAAGACCGGCCGGCUCUGGCAUUUCAGCAUCCCACCGGUGUCACGGCGGGGGAACACGACGGCGUCCGGCGGUGGCAAGAGGCCUUUUUGCUGA
rnacentral:rRNA from 1 species